rnacentral:rRNA from 1 species
AUUGAACGCUGGCGGCAUGCUUUACACAUGCAAGUCGAGCGGCAGCGCGGGGGCAACCCUGGCGGCGAGCGGCGAACGGGUGAGUAAUGCAUCGGAACGUAUCCUCGAGUGGGGGAUAACCCAGCGAAAGGAGGGCUAAUACCGCAUGAGCUCUGAGGAGGAAAGCGGGGGACCUGCGAGGGACUCGCGCUGGAGGAGCGGCCGAUGUCCGAUUAGCUAGUUGGUGGGGUAAAGGCUUACCAAGGCGACGAUCGGUAGCUGGUCUGAGAGGAUGAUCAGCCACACUGGGACUGAGACACGGCCCAGACUCCUACGGGAGGCAGCAGUGGGGAAUUUUGGACAAUGGGGGCAACCCUGAUCCAGCCAUGCCGCGUGAGUGAUGAAGGUCUUCGGGUUGUAAAGCUCUUUCGGUCGGGACGAAAAGGGCUGUACUUAUCCUCCCGUCUGAUGACGGUACCGUAAGAAGAAGCCCCGGCUAACUACGUG